rnacentral:misc_RNA from 1 species
AAGUCGUAACAAGGUUUCCGUAGGUGAACCUGCGGAAGGAUCAUUAAAGAUGCGCGCAAGCGUUUUUUGAUACACACCUGUGCACCGUGGUCUUCGGACCUACAAACAUAGAGUUAUGAACGUAUAAUAGUAAUCAAUAAAA